rnacentral:rRNA from 1 species
GACGAACGCUGGCGGCGUGCUUAACACAUGCAAGUCGAACGGAAAGGCCCUGCUUUUGUGGGGUGCUCGAGUGGCGAACGGGUGAGUAACACGUGAGUAACCUGCCCUUGACUUUGGGAUAACUUCAGGAAACUGGGGCUAAUACCGGAUAGGAGCUCCUGCUGCGUGGUGGGGGUUGGAAAGUUUCGGCGGUUGGGGAUGGACUCGCGGCUUAUCAGCUUGUUGGUGGGGUAGUGGCUUACCAAGGCUUUGACGGGUAGCCGGCCUGAGAGGGUGACCGGACACAUUGGGACUGAGAUACGGCCCAGACUCCUACGGGAGGCAGCAGUGGGGAAUAUUGCACAAUGGGCGGAAGCCUGAUGCAGCAACGCCGCGUGCGGGAUGACGGCCUUCGGGUUGUAAACCGCUUUCGCCUGUGACGAAGCGUGAGUGACGGUAAUGGGUAAAGAAGCACCGGCUAACUACGUG